UACGUAGGGUGCAAGCGUUAAUCGGAAUUACUGGGCGUAAAGCGUGCGUAGACGGUUAUGUAAGUCGGGUGUGAAAGCCCCGGGCUCAACCUGGGAAUGCCAUUCGAGACUGCAUAGCUAGGGUGCGGAAGAGGGAAGCGGAAUUUCCGGUGUAGCGGUGAAAUGCGUAGAUAUCGGAAGGAACACCAGUGGCGAAAGCGGCUUCCUGGUCCAGCACCGACGUUCAGGCACGAAAGCGUGGGGAGCAAACAGG
rnacentral:rRNA from 1 species